rnacentral:rRNA from 1 species
AAUGUGAUGUACCUAGUAAUAUUAGUGAUUAAUAUGAGGCUAACCGAGUUAGUUAAAAUUCUAAGUAUAUAUGUGAUUAUGACAAUAUGUGCUUAUUUCUUGACCAAGUCACGUGCCAGCCGUCGCGGUAAUACGUGGAAGAUCAGUGUUAUUCAUCUUUAUCAGGUUUAAAGGGUACCUAGACGGUUAAUUAAGCUUUAGUAGGAACUAAUUAACUAGAGUUUAAUGUAAGAAUGAUUGAGUACGGUGAGUGUAGAGAUAAAAUUCUGUCAUACCACUUAGGAACUGGUAAAAGCGAAGGCAACUUUCUAUGUAAAAACUGACGUUAAGGGACGAAGGCUCGUAUCAAAUAACAGGAUUAGAUACCCCAGCAUUGUGGGCAGACAAUGAUGAGUGUCAUAUGCAAGAGAUAAAUAUAUAAAAAAAUAUUUUGUGUHUAAAUGAAAGUGUAAGCACUCCACCUCAAGAGUAACGUGGCAACAUGGGAACUGAAAUCAUUAGACCGUUUCUGAAVCUCGUAGUGAAGUAUGUUGUUUAAUUAGAUGGUGCAC